rnacentral:rRNA from 1 species
GGGCACCUGAUGCAGCCAUGCCGCGUGUGUGAAGAAGGCCUUUUGGUUGUAAAGCACUUUCAGCAGGGAGGAGAGGCUAAUGGUUAAUACCCAUUAGAUGAGACGUUACCUGCAGAAUAAGCAGGGCACCUGAUGCAGCCAUGCCGCGUGUGUGAAGAAGGCCUUUUGGUUGUAAAGCACUUUCAGCAGGGAGGAGAGGCUAAUGGUUAAUACCCAUUAGAUGAGACGUUACCUGCAGAAUAAGCAGGGCACCUGAUGCAGCCAUGCCGCGUGUGUGAAGAAGGCCUUUUGGUUGUAAAGCACUUUCAGCAGGGAGGAGAGGCUAAUGGUUAAUACCCAUUAGAUGAGACGUUACCUGCAGAAUAAGCAGGGCACCUGAUGCAGCCAUGCCGCGUGUGUGAAGAAGGCCUUUUGGUUGUAAAGCACUUUCAGCAGGGAGGAGAGGCUAAUGGUUAAUACCCAUUAGAUGAGACGUUACCUGCAGAAUAAGCAGGGCACCUGAUGCAGCCAUGCCGCGUGUGUGAAGAAGGCCUUUUGGUUGUAAAGCACUUUCAGCAGGGAGGAGAGGCUAAUGGUUAAUACCCAUUAGAUGAGACGUUACCUGCAGAAUAAGCAGGGCACCUGAUGCAGCCAUGCCGCGUGUGUGAAGAAGGCCUUUUGGUUGUAAAGCACUUUCAGCAGGGAGGAGAGGCUAAUGGUUAAUACCCAUUAGAUGAGACGUUACCUGCAGAAUAAGCAGGGCACCUGAUGCAGCCAUGCCGCGUGUGUGAAGAAGGCCUUUUGGUUGUAAAGCACUUUCAGCAGGGAGGAGAGGCUAAUGGUUAAUACCCAUUAGAUGAGACGUUACCUGCAGAAUAAGCAGGGCACCUGAUGCAGCCAUGCCGCGUGUGUGAAGAAGGCCUUUUGGUUGUAAAGCACUUUCAGCAGGGAGGAGAGGCUAAUGGUUAAUACCCAUUAGAUGAGACGUUACCUGCAGAAUAAGCA